rnacentral:tRNA from 1 species
GGGGUUGUGGUCUAACUUGGUAUGACACCAGCCUUGGGCGCUGGAGGUUCAGGGUUCAAAUCCCUGCGACCCCA